rnacentral:rRNA from 1 species
AUUGAACGCUGGCGGCAGGCCUAACACAUGCAAGUCGAGCGAGCGGCGGACGGGUGAGUAAUGUAUGGGGACUGCCCGAUAGCGGGGGAUAACUACUGGAAACGGUGGCUAAUACCGCAUACUAUUGGAUAACCCAUAUGGGUUUAGCUAGUAGGUGGGGUAAAGGCUCACCUAGGCGACGAUCUCUAGCUGGUCCGAGCGGAUGAUCAGCCACACUGUGACAGAGACAGGGCCCAGACUCCUACGGAGGCAGCAGUGGGGAAUAGUGCACAAUGGGCGCAAGCGUGAUGGAGCCAUGCCGCGUGUAUGAAGAAGGCCUUAGGGUUGUAGAGUACUUUCAGCGGGGAGGCGUUACCCGCAGAAGAAGCACCGGCUGACUCCGUGCCAGCAGCCGCGGUAAUAC